AAAAAAUAUAUAUAACAUUGUGGUCUAUGUCGGUCAAAGAUAAAAAAAAUAAAAAAAUAAAAUUGGCGGUCUAUGUCGCACUUUUCUAAUAGCAAGAAGAGUAUCUCGAGUUCCGAACCCCAACAAUCUCAAAGUCCAAACUCAAGGAGUCAAGAUUGGGCCAUAGUAUGGUAUAUAUUGUCGAAUAUGAAGCCCCAUAGUCCAGCAAAUCUACGGGCCUACUCAACCCAAUGUUCUCAGCCUAAAUCUCACUGCCUAUACAUUAGGGUUUCUUCUUCAAUUGCUAUAAAUUCUCUCAAAGCCUACAAAGUACAAAUUGUUCUCUGCGCAGCCUACUCCGGACUACUAGGGUUUCGCAAGCGAGAGUGAGAAGGAGCUUAGACACGGAAUCACCAUGAGGGCCAAGUGGAAGAAGAAGCGCAUGAGGAGGUUGAAGAGGAAGCGCCGAAAGAUGAGGCAGAGAUCCAAGUAGUUAUCUUACCAAUAAGUCGCCGUUGUUUUGUGUCUAAUCGGUUUCUGAUUAGAGAGUCGUAGUGUUUCCCAUUUUUACGUUUGGAUCUAAUAUCUGAAAGGUUGGAGUUUUUAGCUGUUGAAUGAGAUUUUGGUACUUCUUAAUGCUAUAUGGUUACAGUAA